rnacentral:rRNA from 1 species
GAUUCCCCUAGUAACGGCGAGUGAAGAGGGAAAAGCUCAAAGUUGGAACCUGGCUGCCCUAGGCAGUCCGGAUUGUAAACUAAAGAGCGUGAUUCCAGGCAAGCCGGUUGACCAAGUCCUUUGGAAUGAGGCGCCACUGAGGGUGAAAGCCCCGUAAGUCGACUGAGCAUUUGGCUUUUGUGUUUCCCGUUCAAAAAGUCAGGUUGUUUGGGAAUGCAGCCUAAAGCUGGGGGUAAAUCCCACCUAAAGCUAAAUACAGGCGAGAGACCGAUAGCGAACAAGUACCGUGAGGGAAAGAUGAAAAGAACUUUGAAAAGAGAGUUAAACAGUAUGUGAAAUUGCCAAGAGGGAAGCAUUUGGAGUUAGAUUGACUAGGAGUUAAUCAGCUUGGUCUUUGGACUGGGUGUACUUGACUUCUAUUGGUCUGCCAA